rnacentral:rRNA from 1 species
GUGUGUGUCUAUGGCGGCGAGGGUACACCUGUUCCCAUCCCGAACACAGCAGUUAAGCUCGCUUGCGGUGACAAUACUUGGCUGGG